AACAGAGAUCCUCAGUAAGUGUGUCGGUCACCUCUUCGCGCGAGCAGGGAGAUCAGAUCGAGAGCAGGACCUCCUCGCCAGUGAUUUGGAAUGAUAAAUGGGGAAGAGAAGGGGGUGAAGUUACCUGGGCGCUCAGGCAUGACUAAGAGAUAUCGUGAAAUUACAACUCAACAAUGAAUUACAGCACAGGCUUUUCACAACUAAGAGACUGUCCAUCAUGGUGCCAGUUUUUCUCAAAAUGGCAUGUGUGCAUGAAAUUCUACAGGCAUAUGGGGUCGUGAUCUGCUAAUCUCCAGUUAUUAUAACUACUUUGAAAAGGGACUUUCCAGCUAUCAGUACACUAUCUCACAAUUACCCUUGAACCAGAAGACAAUGAAUGAUUUGCUAAACAGAUGGCAUAGUCUAUGACAUGCAUCAUAUGUGUGAGCAAUCACAGAAGACUCCUUCCUGUUGCCUUGUGAAGAAGGCUCCUGCUUCCCCUUCACCUUCUGCGCGAUUGUAAGUUUCCUGAGGCCUCCUAGCCAUGCUUCUUGUUCACUCUGCGGAACUGUCCUGAGCUGAAAAGAAUAUGAGAAAUCGGAUUUUACGACAUGGUUAUAGGCGGAAGGGAUUUGCCUUGUCUCAGAUGAGACUUUGGACUGUGGACUUUUGAGGUAAUCCUAGAAUGAGUUAAAACUUUGGGGGAUUGUUGGGAAGGCAUGAUUGUUUUUGAAAUGUAAGGACAUGAGAUUUGGGAGGGGCCAGAAGUGGAAUGAUAUAGUUUGGCUGUGUCCCCACCCAAAUCUCAUAUUGUAUUGCAGCUCUCAUAAUCCCCAUGUGUCAUGGGAGGAACCAGGUAGGAGGUAAUAGGAUCAAUGGGGCAGGUUUUUCCCAUGCUGUUCUUGUAAUAGUGAAUAAGUCUCAUGAGAUCUGACAGUUUUAGAAAGGGCAGUUCCCCCUGCACAUGCUCUCUUGCCUGCUCCCAUGUAAGACGUGCCUUUGCUCCUCCUUUGCCUUCUGCCAUGAUUGUGAG
rnacentral:lncRNA from 10 species